rnacentral:rRNA from 1 species
UACGUAGGGGGCAAGCGUUGUCCGGAUUUAUUGGGCGUAAAGAGCGUGUAGGCGGCUUGGUAGGUCUCGCGUCAAAACCUGAGGCUCAACCUCAGUUCGCGUGGGAAACCACCUAGCUAGAGUCCGGAAGAGGAGAACGGAAUUCCCAGUGUAGCGGUGAAAUGCGCAGAUAUUGGGAAGAACACCAGUGGCGAAGGCGGUUCUCUGGGACGGUACUGACGCUGAGACGCGAAAGCUGGGGGAGCGAACGGG